rnacentral:rRNA from 1 species
AUGGCGGAGGAACCGUCCACCAAGCAUCAUCAAGACAAGCCGUCGGACAAGAGCAGCAACCUCAUCGACGUUCACGUCCCCGGCGAGAAGCGCGAGUACACCAAAACCCUAAGAGAGGUUGAGCUCCAUGGCAAGGAGACGCUGGAGAUCGUCUGCACCAGCGAACCAGACAAGGACGACGAGGUGAUCUCCAGGCUCUGGAGGAAGGCUGGCGGCAUGCUUCGUAGGAUCGUUGGUGUUGGUGUGCACUACACCAACGGAGAUGAACCACCCUAG